rnacentral:rRNA from 1 species
UACGUAGGGACCAAGCGUUGUUCGGAUUUACUGGGCGUAAAGGGCGCGUAGGCGGCCCUACAAGUCACUUGUGAAAUCUCCGGGCUUAACUCGGAACGGCCAAGUGAAACUGUAGAGCUAGAGUGUGGAAGGGGCAAUCGGAAUUCUUGGUGUAGCGGUGAAAUGCGUAGAUAUCAAGAGGAACACCUGAGGUGAAGACGGGUUGCUGGGCCAACACUGACGCUGAUGCGCGAAAGCCAGGGGAGCAAACGGG